rnacentral:lncRNA from 1 species
CAAGAGCAGAUCCUCCCCGACGUCCUGUGGAAGGUGACUUGGAAGUGUAUUCCGAAGCCACUUUUCUGCGUAGACUGAAGGUGACAAAGCCCUGAAGAGUCUGCAAAUGGGUCAGCAUCUUUAAGUCAGAGCUAUAACCCUGAGCUUUGGCUCAGACCUGAUGGCUUGAGCCUGCUGAUGUCCAGGCUUCUGGAAAUCCAGUGCCCAUAGAUGUGGACUAAGGAAGAGCCCCGACCAUGGUCACUCUCAUCACGGAGAAGCUGCAGAACCAGAGUUUGGAUGACCUUACCCGAAGGGCCUGUGAGGCUGUCCCGUGGAUAAAAGUCCCUGGAAGGCCUCACAUGGAGGAUGGCCCUUUCGAAGCCGGGCAGCCUCAGGCCCCUUCUCAGUGGGCCCACAUGGUGUGUCUCAUACCGAAGGUCUCAAGUGGCAGCUGGAAUCCCCAGGGCCCAUGGCUGUGGGCCGCUUCCUGGACCUCCGUGAGAGCACAGGGCCACCCGCAGCUCCACCAACCAAGCGACACUGCCGGUCCCUGUCAGAGCCAGAGGAGCUGGCUCGAUGCCGUUCCCCAUGGCGCCCUGGUAGCUCCAAGGUGUGGACUCCCAUCUCUAAGAGGAGAUGCAACAGUGGCGGGAGUGCCACGCUGCAGUGCUGCAGUGGUCUCGGCAACCCUGCACUGCAGGGCAGUCUAGCCCCCGGCCUACCCAGGAAGCCUGUGUCGCCCAC